CACCGCCGCGGUAAAACGGAGGAUCCAAGCGUUAUCCGGAAUCAUUGGGUUUAAAGGGUCCGUAGGCGGUCUUGUAAGUCAGUGGUGAAAGCCCAUCGCUCAACGGUGGAACGGCCAUUGAUACUGCAGGACUUGAAUUAUUUGGAAGUAACUAGAAUAUGUAGUGUAGCGGUGAAAUGCUUAGAGAUUACAUGGAAUACCAAUUGCGAAGGCAGGUUACUACCAAUUGAUUGACGCUGAUGGACGAAAGCGUGGGUAGCGAACAGGAUUAGAUACCCCCGUAGUCCCUGUCUCUUAUACA
rnacentral:rRNA from 1 species